GUGCUCGCUUCGGCAGCAUAUAUACUAAAAUUGGAACUAUAUAGAGAAGAAUAGCAUGGCCCCUGUGCUAGGAUGACACUCAAAUUCAUGAAGUGUUCUAUAUAUUU